rnacentral:rRNA from 1 species
UACGUAGGGUCCGAGCGUUGUCCGGAAUUACUAGGCGUAAAGAGCUCGUAGGUGGUUUGUCGCGUUGUUCGUGAAAACUCACAGCUCAACUGUGGGCGUGCGGGCGAUACGGGCAGACUUGAGUACUGCAGGGGAGACUGGAAUUCCUGGUGUAGCGGUGGAAUGCGCAGAUAUCAGGAGGAACACCGAUGGCGAAGGCAGCCCCCUGGGAUGUGACUGACGCUCAUGUACGAAAGCGUGGGGAGCAAACAGG